rnacentral:lncRNA from 10 species
UAGCAAUCAGGGAGACUCCGUGGGCGUAGGACCCUCCGAGCCAGGUGUUACCGUGAGAAAAUAUCUUGAACUUCUACUCUGGUGGAGACUUAUUAAAUGAAGAAACCACACAGCUUCCAACUCUGCAGUAGAUCUUGGGCUGUAACUGAUAUUCAACAUUACCAUCCUUGUUGUAAACUGAAUGUCAUAUCCCUCAAAAUUCAUAUGUUGAACCCCUAACUUCCCCUGUGAUGGCAUUUAGAGGACGAGCCUUUGGGGCAUAGUUAAGUUUAGAUAAGAUCAUAGAGGUGGGGGCCCCAUGGUGGAAUUGCUCUCCUUAUAAGAAGUGAAAGACCAAAGCUCUCACUCUCUCCCCACCAUGGGAGGACACAGCAAGAAGGCAGCUAUCUGAUAACCAGGAAGAGGGCCCUCACUAGGAACUGACUGCCAGCACCUCAACCUUGAUCUUUCCAUCCUCCAGAACUGUGAGAAAUAAAGUUUUGUUGUCUAACCCACCCACAGUAUUUUUUACAGAGGCCUGAGCUAAGAUACUUCUUAGUUACGCAUUUUCACCCUCUUCGCCCUUAAACAGCACCUCUGCUGGUCAGGUGGCCUAACUUUGGAAGACUCAGACCUUCAUCUGUGACAGUUCUAUAGUCACAGUCGCUAUGCCUUCUCAGGUCCUGGCUGCUGUAUUAUUACAUUGAUUCUCAAAGUUGUACAAGAGAAUAUCAAAAGACACCAAAGUGGAUUAAGAUUAGUUACUGUUAAAAAUAUUCCUCCUGCUUUACGUUCUACAAGAGCUCUACCUUUUUCCGAAGUUCAGAUCAAUUAUCCCUAUCAGGAUAGUGACUUCUCUUCAAGUCACUUGGGAAAAGUCCCCUGAAGUACACUGGAAGAAGCCAUAACUUAAGUUCAUUGAAAUUUUUGCAGUGUCCCAGAGUCGAUGUAUUCUACCUUUGUCGACCAGAACUUCUCCAUCAUACAGUCCAAACUUGUGGGUCUGGAAAGCACAAACUCUGUAAAUGAGAAACUGGUGAUGAUGUUAAGUAAGUUAUUUAUAUUUUAAGUCCCUGAUUUUAGACUCAUGUAUUUUACCUACUCGGAAAAAAUCAUAUUAUGGUUGUUGAUUUAGAAUACACAUCCUAAAAAGUGACAUCCCAUCUUUGUAUGGUCUCAUGUCUGAGCUAGGCAUCCCACUGAAAUCUUUAACUUAACAUGCCAUUGUUCCACUACGCACCACCCAGCAGCUAAUUGGUCUCCACGCAGAAUGGUGCUAUUAGGGGGACUCAGUGAUUGUCUUGUAUGUAUGGACAUCAUGCAGUAACAGGAGAUAAAUUUGUGUUGGAGACAGGGAACCCAUGCUACUGAAUUUAUGCAUAGUCUUCCUUACAUCACCAUGGUUACCAUGUCUACAUGCACCUCAUGCUCACACUUGGGUUGCGUGAUGGUUAAUAUUGAGUGUCAACUUGAUUGGAUUGAAGGAUGCAAAGCAUCGUUCCUAGGUGUGUCUGUGAGGGUAUUGCCAAAGGAGAUUAACAUUUGAGUCCGUGGACUGAGAAAGCCAGAUCCACAAUCAAUCCGGGUGGGGACAAUCUAAUCAGCUGCCAGCAUGGCCAGAAUAAAAGCAGACAGAAACACGUGGAAAGACCAGACUGGCUAAGCCUUCUGGCCUCCAUCUUUCUUCCAUGCUGGAUGCUUUCUGCCCUUGAACAUCAGACUCCAAGUUCUUCAGCUUUUGGAUUCUUGGACUCACACCAGUGAUUUGCCAGGGGCUCUUGGGCCUUCCACCACAGACUGAAGGCUGCACUAUCAGCUUCCCUACUUUUGAGGUUUUGGGACUCGGACUGGCUUCCUGGCUCCUCAGCUUGAAGACAACCAAUGGUGGGACUUCACCUUGUGAUCCUGUGAGUCAUUUCUCCUAAUAAAUUCCCCUUCAUAUAGACACUAUCCUAUUAGUUCUGUCCAUCUAGAGAACCCCGACAAACAUGGGUUGCUAUCAACUGGACAAAUCAUUGCCAACUAAGUUUUUUAGUGCUUCAGCACUUCUACCAUAGUUAGUGUGCACUAAUGAAUGCAAACAUUUGUAUUACCUAAUACAUGGUCUGGUACAGCAUCCUCAGAUGUGAACUAUGCUGCCUCCUGUAUCCAAAAAGGACUACCAAAUGUUGUACUUCCAUCUUAUUGCAGUGCAGUAAGAAAUAUUUUGUCCUUUAUUUUGUAGAUGUCCCAUCAUGCCCUCAACCACAAAACACCUAAAUUUUACGGUUAUAAUCGCUGUCAGUGGUUGUACGUUGAUAUUCUAUUGUUCCAGCACCAUUCUUUUCCUAUUAAAUUACACUGGCAAAUUUGAUUAAAAAAAACAACUGACUAUAUAUGCUUGUAAACAUUUCCAGAUUAUGUUAUUCUUUUAAUCUAAAUAUGUGUCCUUAUGCCAAUACCCCACUCCAUCUAUUACUGCAGUGUAUGAUAAGUCUUGAAAUCUAGUAGUGUAAGUUCUUCAACGUUGCCCUUAAUUUUUAAAAUCACUCUUGCUAUUUAAAAUUGUUUGUAUUACAUGGAAAUUUUAUAAUCAGCUUGCCAAUUUCUACAAAAGUCCUGCUGAGAUUUUAAUUGGUAUUUUGCUUGUUCUGCAGCUUAAUGCAAGAAAAUUAUCUUAACAAUAUUGAAUUUUUCAAUCUAUUAACAUGUUAUAUAUUACUGUUUACUUAGGAUUUUUUCACUUUUCCUGCCUUGUUUUGAACUGAUAUUGUGGUUUUAAGUAAUUUUUUUUAUUUCUACUAUUGGCUUAGUAACUAUGCCCCACUUUUUGAUUUUGUAGCACAGUUGACCAUUGAACAACACAAGUUUGAAUUGUGCAUGUCCAAUUGUCUAUGGAUAUUUUUCAAUAAAAGUUACACUGAGUG